rnacentral:lncRNA from 1 species
GAUCCAUCUCUCAAUUACAAGUGCCAAGCCUUGUCCUUCACACUGCAACCUCACCAGUGGCACCCCCAGCUUCCAGGAUUAUUCAUUCACAAUGAGAAAGACAAGGGUCUGCCCUGUGGCUGGAGGCAAGGGUGGACCCUCCAAGUGAACUUCAUAUGGUAGGGGUGGUAGGCUAAGCAUCUCUGCUUUCUCACUAACACCUCAGAACUGAGGCAGCAGUAAAAUCAGCUAGGAAACAAGAAAACAGCUUAGUGCUUAGUACAUAGCAAGUUCUCAAAGUUAUUGUUACUGAGCACCAGGACGAUGGACAACAUUAAAUAUGAUCUUAGGUUGGGGUCCACAGAGGGAAGCUGCCAGAUGACAGUGCCGGUUCUGUGGCUGAGGGACUCAAACUUCUAGCACCCUGGAGGACCAGCCACGCCUGGAGGACCACUAGAAAAACUCCUGUUUGUCCCAGGUGGACUCAUCUCUCCUGUCUGUGUGCUCCCAUCAGACAAGCAACCUUCCUGCCAAAAUUAAAGCCAUAAUCCCACAAGAUACAUUGUGUUAUGGGCUACAGCCUGGAUCCAACAUCUAGCUUCUGAAAGUUAAAGCAAUCAAUCCCACAGGAAUUUGUGGAAAUUAGAAAUGUGUGUCCUUUCAAACACGUGACUAUAAUAAAAGUAUUAAAAAUAGCUAACCCCGUUCUAGU